rnacentral:rRNA from 1 species
AUGGCGGUCCCAUCGUCGUCCUUGUUGUCGUCGCUGCUGCUCCUCGCGCUCCUGCUGCAUCAUUGCUCCGCGGCCCAGGAUCACGGCAGCGCCGCCGUCAUCGUCAACAUCUCGUCCCUCGAGGACGUCGUCCGCGACCGCGCGUUCGAGCUGCUCCACCGCACCGACAAGCUCGUGGGCGUGCCCCUCACGGCCUGCCCGUCGCCGUGCGGCCUCGUCGAGGUCCAGGCCUCGGCGCUGCGCGUGCGGAGCAGCUCCCUCUGGGCCGACGGCGUCAACGCCACCGCCGCCGACACCGCGGGGUUCACCGUGCCGCCGCGCGUCGUGCCGUCCCCGUUCGCCCGCCGCGUCGACGUCGUCUUCGAGCGGUUCGUCGGCGGCAACUCCUCGUCCGGCGCGCUCUUCGCCGCGCCGCCCGGGUACGCGCUGGCUGCCCCCGUGGCCGCGCUGCUCGCGUACGACGUGUCGACCGGAAACAACGGCAGCAGGGCUGUCGGACUCCGGGCGCUCGGCGCGCCGGUCCGCCUGGAGUUCGGGUACCUCGCGCCUGCGGCGGCGAACGGGACGCCGCCGUUUAACGCCACGGCGGCAAGGUGCGUAACCUUCGCGGUGGACAGCGGGAAGGCCAAGGCCGUGGCCACGCACGCCAUGGCGUCGGACACCGCGUGCACGGUGACCGGCACGGGCCACUACGGCGUGGCGGUGCGGCUGCAACCGACACCGCCUUCGCUGACGCCGCCGACGCCGCAGCCGCCUGCAGCGGUGCGGGAGCGGUGGUGGGCGUGGAUGGCGGUGGCCGGCGUCGGCGGGGUGGUGGUGGUGGGCUUCCUGGCGGCCACCGUGGUCGCGGCGGUGCGGUGGAGCAGGAGGCGCAGGAGGGAGGAGAUGGACCUGCGGGCGCUGGCCGGGGAGGAGCUGGGGAGGAUGGCGGUGCGGGGGAGCAGGAUGCCGGCGGCGAAGAUGGUGAGGACGCGGCCGGAGCUGGAGGACGGGAGCCCCAUGGCGUGGCGGCGCUAG